rnacentral:lncRNA from 1 species
GAGUCUUCAGAUAAAAAGGACCUACUAAAAAGUUCCCAGCUCAAUUAAUGAGGACUCAUAUUAAGACAGAAGAGGAAAAAAAUGAAUUUAUAAGUUAAUAUGAUUUGGCUCUGUGUCUCCACCCAAAUCUCAUCUCGAAUUACAAUCUCCAGAAUCCCCAUUUGUUCAGGGAGGGACCAGGUGGGAGGUGACUAAAUCAUGGGGGCGGUUUCCUGCAUGCUGUUAAAGUGAAAGUUUGCACUCUUAAACUGGGUCACAAUCUGCAUAUAUACAUCUCACAUGCCCUUUUGCACAUAUCAAAUAUUAUCUAAUAAAACAUGUGAGAAGAGCUCCAUUAGAGGUAGGUACAGGAUGCUAUGGAGUACAGAGGAGGGGAGUCUAACUCAAUCUGAGAUAGGAGAAAGCAUGAGAGCUGAGUCUUGUUGUUGUUGUUGUUGUUGUUGUUAU